GACGAACGCUGGCGGCGUGCUUAACACAUGCAAGUCGAACGGAAAGGCCUCUUUCGGGGGGUACUCGAGUGGCGAACGGGUGAGUAACACGUGAGUAACCUGCCCUUGACUUUGGGAUAACUUCAGGAAACUGGGGCUAAUACCGGAUAGGAGCUCCUGCUGCAUGGUGGGGGUUGGAAAGGUUCGGCGGUUGGGGAUGGACUCGCGGCUUAUCAGCUUGUUGGUGGGGUAGUGGCUUACCAAGGCUUUGACGGGUAGCCGGCCUGAGAGGGUGACCGGCGACAUUGGGACUGAGAGACGGCCCAGACUCCUACGGGAGGCAGCAGUGGGGAAUAUUGCACAAUGGGUGGAAGCCUGAUGCAGCAACGCCGUGUGCGGGAUGACGGCCUUCGGGUUGUAAACCGCUUUCGCUCAUGACGAAGCUUUGUGUGACGGUAGUGGGUAAAGAAGCACCGGCUAACUACGUG
rnacentral:rRNA from 1 species